rnacentral:rRNA from 1 species
UACGUAGGGUGCGAGCGUUGUCCGGAAUCACUGGGCGUAAAGCGCACGUAGGCGGAUUGCUAAGUCAGGGGUGAAAUCCUGGAGCUCAACUCCAGAACUGCCUUUGAUACUGGCGGUCUCGAGUCCGGGAGAGGUGAGUGGAACUGCGAGUGUAGAGGUGAAAUUCGUAGAUAUUCGCAAGAACACCAGUGGCGAAGGCGGCUCACUGGCCCGGUACUGACGCUGAGGUGCGAAAGCGUGGGGAGCAAACAGG